AGAGUUUGAUCCUGGCUCAGGACGAACGCUGGCGGCGCGCCUAACACAUGCAAGUCGAACGGAGCUGAGAGAAGCUUGCUUUUCUUAGCUUAGUGGCGAACGGGUGAGUAACGCGUGAGUAACCUGCCCUGGAGUGGGGGACAACAGUUGGAAACGACUGCUAAUACCGCAUAAGCCCACGAUCCGGCAUCGGAUUGAGGGAAAAGGAUUUAUUCGCUUCAGGAUGGACUCGCGUCCAAUUAGCUAGUUGGUGAGGUAACGGCCCACCAAGGCGACGAUUGGUAGCCGGACUGAGAGGUUGAACGGCCACAUUGGGACUGAGACACGGCCCAGACUCCUACGGGAGGCAGCAGUGGGGGAUAUUGCACAAUGGGGGAAACCCUGAUGCAGCGACGCCGCGUGGAGGAAGAAGGUUUUCGGAUUGUAAACUCCUGUCGUUAGGGACGAUAAUGACGGUACCUAACAAGAAAGCACCGGCUAACUACGUGCCAGCAGCCGCGGUAAAACGUAGGGUGCAAGCGUUGUCCGGAAUUACUGGGUGUAAAGGGAGCGCAGGCGGGAAGACAAGUUGGAAGUGAAAUCUAUGGGCUCAACCCAUAAACUGCUCUCAAAACUGUUUUUCUUGAGUAGUGCAGAGGUAGGCGGAAUUCCCGGUGUAGCGGUGGAAUGCGUAGAUAUCGGGAGGAACACCAGUGGCGAAGGCGGCCUACUGGGCACCAACUGACGCUGAGGCUCGAAAGUGUGGGUAGCAAACAGGAUUAGAUACCCUGGUAGUCCACACCGUAAACGAUGAUUACUAGGUGUUGGAGGAUUGACCCCUUCAGUGCCGCAGUUAACACAAUAAGUAAUCCACCUGGGGAGUACGACCGCAAGGUUGAAACUCAAAGGAAUUGACGGGGGCCCGCACAAGCAGUGGAGUAUGUGGUUUAAUUCGACGCAACGCGAAGAACCUUACCAAGUCUUGACAUCCUGCGACGAUGCUGGAAACAGUAUUUUCCUUCGGGACGCAGAGACAGGUGGUGCAUGGUUGUCGUCAGCUCGUGUCGUGAGAUGUUGGGUUAAGUCCCGCAACGAGCGCAACCCUUGUGAUUAGUUGCUACGCAAGAGCACUCUAAUCAGACUGCCGUUGACAAAACGGAGGAAGGUGGGGACGACGUCAAAUCAUCAUGCCCUUUAUGACCUGGGCUACACACGUACUACAAUGGUCGUUAACAGAGGGAAGCAAUACCGCGAGGUGGAGCAAAACCCUAAAAACGGUCUCAGUUCAGAUUGUAGGCUGCAACUCGCCUACAUGAAGUUGGAUUCGCUAGUAAUCGCGCAUCAGCCACGGCGCGGUGAAUACGUUCCCGGGCCUUGUACUCACCGCCCGUCA
rnacentral:rRNA from 1 species